GAUCAUGGCUCAGAUUGAACGCUGGCGGCAUGCCUUACACAUGCAAGUCGAACGGCAGCACGGGGCAACCUGGUGGCGAGUGGCGAACGGGUGAGUAAUGCAUCGGAACGUGCCAUUGAGUGGGGGGUAACGUAGCGAAAGUUACGCUAAUACCGCAUAUUCUGUGAGCAGGAAAGCAGGGGAUCGCAAGACCUUGCGCUCUUUGAGCGGCCGAUGUCAGAUUAGCUAGUUGGUGAGGUAACGGCUUACCAAGGCGACGAUCUGUAGCGGGUCUGAGAGGAUGAUCCGCCACACUGGAACUGAGACACGGUCCAGACUCCUACGGGAGGCAGCAGUGGGGAAUUUUGGACAAUGGGGCAACCCUGAUCCAGCCAUGCCGCGUGAGUGAAGAAGGCCUUCGGGUUGUAAAGCUCUUUCGGCCGGGAAGAAAUCGCAUGGGUUAAUACCCUGUGUGGAUGACGGUACCGGCAUAAGAAGCACCGGCUAACUACGUG
rnacentral:rRNA from 1 species